rnacentral:lncRNA from 1 species
GACGAGAGAGGGACUGGUCCCAAGUCUCUUCCGUGCUUGUGCUCUUAGGGAGAGUAGUGGUGUGCUGUGGCUUGCGGGGGAGAAGAAGCCGAUCCCUCCUCCGGCCCUGGGUUCCUCCUUUUAUAUUGCAAGGGGGGUGGCCGGAGUUACAGCUGGGAUCGGGUGAAGAGGACUGUAAAGUGUAAAUCAUAGAAUGGUAAAGAAUACGGGAGGAAGGAGGAGCAAGUUCCUAGACGCCCGACGCCUCCUCCGGCCCCUGGCGAAUGCCGGCGUGCAUGCCGGAGGGGGAGGCGGCCGUGUGCCAACUAUCGUUGCUUCCUACAAAUAGCUCUUUCGGUACUCGUAGGCAUCGGGUCAUGAUGAAGGUGUUUCGUCGUUAUCCUGGUGUCUGUUGGGGAGGACGGUGGCUGCUACCGUUCAGACGACGGCUCCUGGAGAGAGGGCGUCACAUCCUUGCUGCUGGGCAUGCGGGACCCGAGGGCGCGCGGGGCCCGAGGACAGGCCGGUCUCUCCUCCGCUCCGGCCGGCGCAGGCCAUGAGUACCCUGCGGCGAAUGGGAGCGAGCCGCCAGCACUGUAGCUUGUACACUGUGGUCGUGCACGAGUACUUGCGACGGGUUGCGUGAGGGGCGCGGUCAUUCCUUCCCUCUGCCAGGCCUGCGGCGCAUUUAUGGCGAAGCCGACGGGGGGACCCACAGGAUUUUGUCUGCCUUGCCCACCUGAACCGCAUCCGAGGGGGAUGCCUGCCCCGGGGGCCCCAGCGCGCCCUGUUGGAGGUAUGCCCUAGAGGCAAUCAUAGAGAUGAUGAUAUUCCAUUUGUAUCCAUGAUUUGUAUGUUGUGUUCAUUGAAUAUCCAUUGAAGGCUACUUGAAUUGAUUUGCAAUUAUGUGAAUUGUAUGUGAAACUCUUUACUUGUAUGGUUAUUCUAAAGUUGUCCCUAGUCGGAGUUCAUGUGAG